rnacentral:lncRNA from 1 species
UGGCACCAUCAUAGCUCACUGCAACCUCAAACUCCUGCCCUCAAGUGGUCCUAUCGUCUCACCUUCCCAAAAUGCUAAAAUUACAGACCCAGCAACUCUUCAACCCCCCUUUGGAAGUAGCAACUUAGCUGUACCUGACUGCCACUUUAAAACUACUAUUUUUGACAUUAGGAAUUGAAAAUAAUUGUGAAUGCACCCAUUCUUGGAAAACCAGGCAAGAGGUUUCCCUGGACCCUUGAAGCAUGAGAAGAGAUCUAUGAAAGGCUAAAUUACUGUUGCUAGCAAAGGAAGGCUCACAUGGGUGAAGCUGUGAUCAGAAGCAUAAGAUCCCUGGGCUGCACUAUGGAUCAGGGUCAACAAAGGUACAGCCUUGUAUUUCUAAUGCAAAACAACGCUAACCUGGAGAAAUUAUAUAGAAGAAAUUCUUGAAU